GCCGGAGUGGUGAAAUUGGUAGACACACUAUCUUGAGGGGGUAGCGCUCGCAAGGGUGUGCCGGUUCGAAUCCGGCCUCCGGCA
rnacentral:tRNA from 1 species